rnacentral:tRNA from 1 species
GGUUGUGGCUCAGUGGUAGAGCACUUAUCUUGCAUGCAUGAGGCACUGGGUUCAAUCCUCAGCACCA